rfam:Phytophthora sojae unplaced genomic scaffold PHYSOscaffold_20, whole genome shotgun sequence.
GACAGCUUGGCCGAGUGGUUAAGGCGAUAGACUAGAAAUCUAUUGGGGUAACCCACGUGAGUUCAAAUCUCACAGCUGUCG